AGUCAGUUUACUUUUGGCGCUCGUCGCGUGCACAACGUUAAGCGGGCACACUCAAUAGGCGGCAUAUCACCUGAGUAACUGUAACUGUGCUUUGUUGUUAGUGUUUCGACUUGUGUUUUUUUUGCUUUAGCUUUUGCGCUUUGUUAUUGCCGCUCUGCACUCUCCGCCAAGUUCAUUCACGUUCAUUCACGUUUCAUCACCGCUGGCCGUCUAAUUAAAUCUUUGCUGUGCAUUCGAGCGUAACAAUUAAUUGCAUUCAUUUAUUGUUGAUGCAAAUUGUUUAAAACACUUGAAAUUAACUCUUGAUGAUUGCCUUUGAAGAAAGUGAAAUCUCUCCCUCUCUCCACGAAAACACACAAAUGGCUAAUACCAUAAUUAUGUUAAUCUUAAUAACCGUUAAGUGUUAACACAGUUUAUUCGGUAACAAAGAAAAAUAAUCAUAAUAAUACUGCAAUAUUAAAAAAAACCCUUAAAGUGCAAACAAAAC